UUCCAAAUUUGUGAGGAGUAACCUUGCCUAUAUUACGGUAUAUUACCUGAAGCUCACCCAAUAUGCAGUGUGUUCUGCUCUGUCAAUAACAAAUGAGAUGCCAUACACAGGGGAUCCGACAGAAGACAGCAGACAGAAUUCGUCGAUGUAUUUGAAAUGUCAUUGUUUAUUUGAAAAAAGUUACCUAUCCACA